rnacentral:rRNA from 1 species
GAUGAACGCUGGCGGCGUGCCUAAUACAUGCAAGUCGAGCGAACAGACGAGGAGCUUGCUCCUCUGACGUUAGCGGCGGACGGGUGAGUAACACGUGGAUAACCUACCUAUAAGACUGGGAUAACUUCGGGAAACCGGAGCUAAUACCGGAUAAUAUAUUGAACCGCAUGGUUCAAUAGUGAAAGACGGUUUUGCUGUCACUUAUAGAUGGAUCCGCGCCGCAUUAGCUAGUUGGUAAGGUAACGGCUUACCAAGGCAACGAUGCGUAGCCGACCUGAGAGGGGGAUAGGCCACACGGGAACUGAGACACGGUCCAGACUACUACGGGAGGCAGCAGUAGGGAAGCGGCCGCAAUGGGCGAAAGCAUGACGGAGCAACGGCGAGUGAGUGAUGAAGGUCUUCGGAUCGUAAAACUCGGUUAUGAGGGAAGAACAAAUGUGGAAGUAACUAUGCACGUCUUGACGGUAACUAAUAAGAAAGCCACGGCUAACUACGUG